rnacentral:rRNA from 1 species
CGGACCUCAGAUCAGGCAAGACCACCCGCUGAGUUUAAGCAUAUCA